AAUAUCUCUAAUGUGAUUGUAUUUAAACUGGAUUAGAAAUAACCUGUUUACAACUAAGCUUGUAAGUGACUUUUCCCCAAAACUGCAAGAUCAAACAAAAAAAAUGUUUGUUUUUUUACAUUUAACUCACCAGUGUGCCAGGAUAUGUACAGCACGGAAGGGUUUUUACUUCUUAUAAAGUAAACAUGUUUCAAUGGAUAUAGUGCUGUGGAGAAGAUGAUUUUACCAAUGUUAAGUUAAUUUAGUACAAAAGAAGCCGUCUCAGUAGCAACUUGUUUAUAACUAACUUAAAAUCUCAGUUUAAGCGACUUGUUCCCCAAAACUACAAGAUCAAUCAAAAGAAAAGCAUUUUCUUACAUUUAACUUACUUCAUUUCAGAUUUCUGAUUCCCACUCAUGCCAGGAUAUGUGGAUCUACUUUUUGACUGCUGAAGAAUGGCUUCCAAUGGUGUAUCCAAGAGACUCCAUAUGCUGUGUCCUUUCUGCCGGAAGACCCAGAGAACCAUGUCAACGCAUCUACGCAGGGUCUGCAUGAAGAACGGCUCGCAAGAAGCCAUCGAGGCAGAGAUGGAGAAGGCAAAGAGGGACGUUUGUGAACUUCUGGCAACUGGCAGGGUGUUUGAAUACGCC